GAUGAACGCUGGCGGCGUGCCUAAUACAUGCAAGUCGAGCGAACAGACGAGGAGCUUGCUCCUCUGACGUUAUCGGCGGACGGGUGAGUAACGCGUGGAUAACCUACCUAUAAGACUGGGAUAACUUCGGGAAACCGGAGCUAAUACCGGAUAAUAUAUUGAACCGCAUGGUUCAAUAGUGAAAGACGGUUUUGCUGUCACUUAUAGAUGGAUCCGCGCCGCAUUAGCUAGUUGGUAAGGUAACGGCUUACCAAGGCAACGAUGCGUAGCCGACCUGAGAGGGUGAUCGGCCACACUGGAACUGAGACACGGUCCAGACUCCUACGGGAGGCAGCAGUAGGGAAUCUUCCGCAAAGGGCGAAAGCCUGACGGAGCAACGCCGCGUGAGUGAUGAAGGUCUUCGGAUCGUAAAACUCUGUUAUUAGGGAAGAACAAAUGUGUAAGUAACUAUGCACGUCUUGACGGUACCUAAUCAGAAAGCCACGGCUAACUACGUG
rnacentral:rRNA from 1 species